GAUGAACGCUGGCGGCGUGCCUAAUACAUGCAAGUCGAGCGAAUGACGAGGAGCUUGCUCCUCUGAUUUAGCGGCGGACGGGUGAGUAACACGUGGGUAACCUGCCUGUAAGACGGGGAUAACUCCGGGAAACCGGAGCUAAUACCGGAUGAUAACGAGAAGCGCCUGCUUCUUUUUUGAAAGUCGGUUUCGGCUGACGCUUACAGAUGGGCCCGCGGCGCAUUAGCUAGUUGGUGAGGUAACGGCUCACCAAGGCGACGAUGCGUAGCCGACCUGAGAGGGUGCUCGGCCACACUGGGACUGGGACACGGCCCAGACUCCUACGGGAGGCAGCAGUAGGGAAUCUUCGGCAAUGGACGAAAGUCUGACCGAGCAACGCCGCGUGAGCGAUGAAGGCCUUCGGGUCGUAAAGCUCUGUUGUCGGAGAAGAACAAGUACCGGAGUAACUGCCGGUACCUUGACGGUACCUGACCAGAAAGCCACGGCUAACUACGUGCCAGCCGCCGCGGUAA
rnacentral:rRNA from 1 species